rnacentral:rRNA from 1 species
GAGGAAUAUUGCGCAAUGGGGGCAACCCUGACGCAGCGACGCCGCGUGAGUGAGGAAGGCCUUCGGGUCGUAAAGCUCUGUCAAAGGGAAAGAAGUGCAUGGUGGCUAAUACCUGCCAUGUUUGACGGUACCCUUAAAGGAAGCACCGGCUAACUCCGUGCCAGCAGCCGCGGUAAUACGGAGGGUGCAAGCGUUGUUCGGAAUCACUGGGCGUAAAGGGCGCGCAGGCGGUUUGGUAAGUCAGAUGUGAAAGCCCACGGCUUAACCGUGGAAGUGCAUUUGAUACUGCCAGACUUGAGUACCAGAGGGGAAAGUGGAAUUCCCGGUGUAGAGGUGAAAUUCGUAGAUAUCGGGAGGAAUACCGGUGGCGAAGGCGACUUUCUGGCUGAGUACUGACGCUGAGGCGCGAAAGCGUGGGGAGCAAAC